GACGAACGCUGGCGGCGUGCUUAACACAUGCAAGUCGAACGGUGAAGCGCCUUCCUUUUUGGUGGGUGUGGAUGAGUGGCGAACGGGUGAGUAACACGUGAGUAACCUGCCCCCUUCUUCUGGAUAACCGCAUGAAAGUGUGGCUAAUACGGGAUAUUCUGGGUCUGUCGCAUGAUGGGUCUGGGAAAGAUAUUGUUUCGGUGGGGGAUGGGCUCGCGGCCUAUCAGCUUGUUGGUGGGGUGAUGGCCUACCAAGGCGGUGACGGGUAGCCGGCCUGAGAGGGUGGACGGUCACACUGGGAGUGAGACACGGCCCAGACUCCUACGGGAGGCAGCAGGGGGGAAUAUUGCACGAUGGGCGCAAGCCUGAUGCAGCGACGCCGCGUGAGGGAUGGAGGCCUUCGGGUUGUGAACCUCUUUCGCCAGUGAAGCAGGCCUGCCUCGUUUGUGGGUGGGUUGACGGUAGCUGGAUAAGAAGCGCCGGCUAACUACGUG
rnacentral:rRNA from 1 species